rnacentral:rRNA from 1 species
GAAAGUAAGUAAGGGCGUAUGGGGGAUGCCUAGGCUCUUGGAGGCUAAGAAGGACGUGGUAAGCUGCGAAAAGCUGCGGGGAUUUGCAAACGAGACUCGAUCCGCAGAUAUCCGAAUGGGACAACCCGGCAGGUAGAAGACCUGUCACACCGCGAGGUGAGCUAACCCUCUGAACUGAAACAUCUAAGUAGGAGGAGGAAAAGAAAGAAACAUCGAUUUCCAAAGUAGCGGCGAGCGAAAUGGAAGAAGCCCAAACCGAUAUUGUUACGGCAAUAUCGGGGUUGUAGGACUGCAAUAUUCAAUUAACAAUGAACUGGAAUGGUCUGGAAAGUCCAUCCAUAGAGAGUGAAAGGCUCGUACAGGUAAGUUUGUUAUGCGAAAGCAGUAUCCUGAGUAUGGCGGGACACGAGGAAUCCUGUCAGAAUCAGCCGGGACCACCCGGUAAGGCUAAAUACUCCCAAGAGACCGAUAGUGGACCAGUACUGUGAAGGAAAGGUGAAAAGAACCCCGAACAGGGGAGUGAAAUAGAACCUGAAACCAUACGCUUACAACCGGUCGGAGCAGCUUCGUGCUGUGACGGCGUGCCUAUUGAAUAAUGAGCCUACGAGUUACUAAUCACUAGCGAGGUUAAGUGCAAGGAUGCACGGAGCCGAAGCGAAAGCGAGUCUGAACAGGGCGUUUAGUUAGUGGUUGUAGACGCGAAACCUUGCGAUCUACCCUUGAGCAGGUUGAAGGUUGGGUAAAACCAACUGGAGGACCGAACGAAUAAGCGUUGAAAAGCUUCUCGAUGACUUGAGGGUAGGGGUGAAAGGCUAAUCAAGCUGGGAAAUAGCUCGUACUCCCCGAAAUGCCUUUUGGGGCAGCGUUGUAAUAAAGAGUCUACUGGAGGUAGAGCUACUGAUUGGAUGCGGGGGCUUCACCGCCUACCAAAUCCUGACAAACUCCGAAUGCCAGUAGUAUGAUUUACAGCAGUGAGUGACUGGGUGCUAAUGUCCAGUCGCAAAAGAGGAACAACUCAGACCAGCAACUAAGGUCCCGAAGAAUAUGCUAAGUUGAUCUAACGAUGUUUUGUUGCAGAGACAGCUAGGAUGUUAGCUUGGAAGCAGCUAUUCAUUCAAAGAGUGCGUAACAGCUCACUAGUCGAGCGACAGAGCGUGGAUAAUAAACGGGCAUCAAGCAUAUCACCGAAGUUCUGGGCGCGAGAGCGCGGUAGGGGAGCAUUCCAUUCAGCGUCGAAGCAGUUUCGUGAGGAAUUGUGGAGCGUAUGGAAAAGCAAAUGUAGGCAUGAGUAACGAUAAUGCGGGAGAGUAACCCGCACACCGCAAGACCAAGGUUUCCUGAUCAACGCUAAUCGGAUCAGGGUUAGUCGGGUCCUAAGGGUAAGCCGAACGGCGAUCUCGAUGGAUAAUCGGUUAAUAUUCCGAUACUAACAUAUACCUCGAUGGAGAGACGAAGGAACGUAAGUGCCGCCACCUGACGGAAUAGGUGGUUAAAGGGCGUAGAUAUAGGGGCAGAUUAAGAGUUAGUCCUUGCUGAAACCUGACAGUACAGAGAGCCUACGGGCAAUUUGAUAGAGCACCCAAGUCGACUUCCGAGAAAAUCUUCUAAGUUAUAGUAUAUGUUACCCGUACCGUAAACCGACACAGGUGGUCGAGGAGAGUAUCCUAAGGUGCUCGAGUGAAUCACGGUUAAGGAACUAGGCAAAUUAACCCCGUAACUUCGGGAAAAGGGGUCCCUAUGAAAGUAGGGCGCAGCGAAGAGGUCCAGGCGACUGUUUAUCAAAAACACAGGGCUCUGCAAAUUCGAAAGAAGACGUAUAGGGCCUGACACCUGCCCGGUGCUGGAAGGUUAAGAGGGGAUGUCAUCGCAAGAGAAGCAUUGAAUCGAAGCCCCAGUAAACGGCGGCCGUAACUAUAACGGUCCUAAGGUAGCGAAAUUCCUUGUCGGGUAAGUUCCGAC